GGAAUCACUGGGCGUAAAGCGCGCGCAGGCGGCCUUUUAAGUUGGAUGUGAAAGCCUAUGGCUCAACCAUAGAACCGCAUCCAAAACUAUUUAGCUAGAGUGUGGGAGAGGAAGAUGGAAUUAGUUGUGUAGGGGUAAAACCCGUAGAGAUAACUAGGAAUACCAAAAGCGAAGGCAAUCUUCUGGAACACUACUGACGCUGAGGCGCGAAGGCGUGGGGAGCAAACAGGAUUAGAUACCCUGGUAGUCCACGCAGUAAACGAUGAAUGUUAGUCGUCGGGUAGCUAGUCUAUUCGGUGAUGCAGCUAACGCAUUAAACAUUCCGCCUGGGGAGUACGGUCGCAAGAUUAAAACUCAAAGGAAUAGACGGGGACCCGCACAAGUGGUGGAGCAUGUAGUUUAAUUCGAAGAUACGCGAAGAACCUUACCUAGCCUUGACAUAUAUUAGAACACUUUAGAGAUAGAGUGGUGCCUUCGGGAGCUUUUAUACAGGUGCUGCACGGCUGUCGUCAGCUCGUGUCGUGAGAUGUUGAGUUAAGUCCCGCAACGAGCGCAACCCUCGUCACUAGUCACUAACGGUUCGGCCGAGGACUCUAGUGAGACUGCCUUCGUAAGGAGGAGGAAGGUGAGGACGACGUCAAGUCAUCAUGGCCCUUACGGCUAGGGCAACACACGUGCUACAAUGGCCAGGACAAUGAGACGCGAUACCGCGAGGUGGAGCAAAUCUAUAAACCUGGUCUCAGUUCGGAUUGUAGUCUGCAACUCGACUACAUGAAGCUGGAAUCACUAGUAAUCGUAGAUCAGCUAUGCUACGGUGAAUACGUUCCCGGGUCUUGUACUCACCGCCCGUCACACCAUGGGAGUUGAUUUCACCCGAAGCGGGGAAGCUAAACUGGCUACCCUCCACGGUGGAAUCAGCGACUGGGGUG
rnacentral:rRNA from 1 species